rnacentral:rRNA from 1 species
UACGUAGGGUGCGAGCGUAAUCGGAAUUACUGGGCGUAAAGCGUGCGCAGGCGGUGAUGUAAGACAGAUGUGAAAUCCCCGGGCUCAACCUGGGAACUGCAUUUGUGACUGCAUCGCUGGAGUGCGGCAGAGGGGGAUGGAAUUCCGCGUGUAACAGUGAAAUGCGUAGAUAUGCGGAGGAACACCGAUGGCGAAGGCAAUCCCCCUGGGCCUGCACUGACGCUCACGUACGAAAGCGUGGGGAGCAAACAGG